rnacentral:rRNA from 1 species
GACAGAGGAUGCAAGCGUUAUCCGGAAUGAUUGGGCGUAAAGCGUCUGUAGGUGGCUUUUCAAGUCCGCCGUCAAAUCCCAGGGCUCAACCCUGGACAGGCGGUGGAAACUACCAAGCUGGAGUACGGUAGGGGCAGAGGGAAUUUCCGGUGGAGCGGUGAAAUGCGUAGAUAUUGGAAAGACCACCGAUGGCGAAGGCACUCUACUGGGCCAUUACUGACACUGAGAGACGAAAGCUAGGGGAGCAAAUGGG